GCUCGUGUCGUCGUAGAGUGUCGGGUUAAGUCCCGCAACGAGCGCAACCCCUAUUGCUAGUUACCAUCAUUAAGUUGGGGACUCUAGCGAGACUGCCAGUGAUAAACUGGAGGAAGGUGGGGAUGACGUCAAAUCAUCAUGCCCCUUAUGACCUGGGCUACAAACGUGAUACAAUGGCUGGAACAAAGGGAUGCGAAGCAGUGAUGUGGAGACGAAACCCAUAAAAACAGUCUCAGUUCGGAUUGAAGUCUGCAACUCGACUUCAUGAAGUCGGAAUCGCUAGUAAUCGCGGAUCAGAACGCCGCGGUGAAUACGUUCUCGGGGUUU
rnacentral:rRNA from 1 species